rnacentral:rRNA from 1 species
CAGUCGCCGCGGGAAUACAGAGGGUGCGAGCGUUAAUCGGAUUUACUGGGCGUAAAGCGUGCGUAGGCGGCUUUUUAAGUCGGAUGUGAAAUCCCUGAGCUUAAAUUAGGAAUUGCAUUCGAUACUGGGAAGCUAGAGUAUGGGAGAGGAUGGUAGAAUUCCAGGUGUAGCGGUGAAAUGCGUAGAGAUCUGAAGGAAUACCGAUGGCGAAGGCAGCCAUCUGGCCUAAUACUGACGCUGAGGUACGAAAGCAUGGGGAGCAAACAGGAUUAGAUACCCCCGUAGUCCCUGUCUCUUAUAC